CUCAUUGUGACACCAUAAAGCCGAAAAACUUAUUAGAGAUGACUUCCAAGAUGCACUUGCUCAGAUUAAGUUUCACUCAGAACCGUUAGAGCAUUAUGAAGAUCUCCUUGAGGUCGGCUAUGUGGUGGACUGUGCUUGGCUCUUGACCAACAUAUUGUCCACGUAGAUCUCUAUGUUCUUUCUUGAUCUGCUCUUUGAAGAUCUUAUUUAUGAGCUUUUGAUAGAUUGCCCCCAUGUUCUUC
rnacentral:lncRNA from 1 species